rnacentral:sRNA from 1 species
UUGCUUAUGUUGGUUGCGCACGCGUC